rnacentral:rRNA from 1 species
UGCCAGCCGCCGCGGUAAUACGGAGGGUGCAAGCGUUGUUCGGAAUUAUUGGGCGUAAAGCGCGUGUAGGCGGUUCGUUAAGUCUGAUGUGAAAGUCCACGGCUCAACCGUGGAAGUGCAUUUGAAACUGGGUGGCUAGAGUACAGUAGAGGAAAGUGGAAUUCCCGGUGUAGCGGUGAAAUGCGUAGAUAUCGGGAGGAACAUCAGUGGCGAAGGCGACUUUCUGGACUGAUACUGACACUGAGGUACGAAAGCGUGGGUAGCAAACAGGAUUAGAUA